rnacentral:lncRNA from 1 species
GAAAUAUGGGUAGCUGAGACCUUAAAGAACUGAGCAAGAGUUGCCCUCUCAGCAAAUCUCAACUCUCGAGUCACCCUUCUUCCUGCACUGAAGGAAAUCCUGGCAGCUUUUCUCUAGCAGGAACCACCAGAUGGGAUGAGAGGAUAAUGAAUUUCUUUCCUGCACCAAUUCGGGACCAAGGGUGGCCAGAACCCAUCCCAGCAGCUCCAGGCACAAGAAGGAAUAUUCAUUCCUGAUGAAAAUGCAGUCCUGAUGACAUUGUAAUCCUGACAAAGGUACAAAGGAAAAA